rnacentral:rRNA from 1 species
AACGUCCCGAAAGGGACGCUAAUACCGCAUAACAUCCUGCUUUUGAAUAAGUGGAGAUCAAAGCCGGGGAUCGCAAGACCUGGCGUUUGAAGAGGGGCCCGCGUCUGAUUAGCUAGUUGGUGAGGUGACGGCCCACCAAGGCGACGAUCAGUAUCCGGCCUGAGAGGGCGGACGGACACACUGGGACUGAGACACGGCCCAGACUCCUACGGGAGGCAGCAGUGGGGAAUUGUUCGCAAUGGGCGCAAGCCUGACGACGCAACGCCGCGUGGAGGAUGAAGGUCUUCGGAUUGUAAACUCCUGUUGCCCGGGACGAAACGCUUCGACCUAACACGUCGAAGUCUGACGGUACCGGGUGAGGAAGCCCCGGCUAACUCUGUGCCAGCAGCCGCGGUAAUACAGAGGGGGCAAGCGUUGUUCGGAAUUACUGGGCGUAAAGGGCGCGUAGGCGGCCUUCUAAGUCAGACGUGAAAUCCCCGGGCUCAACCCGGGAACUGCGUCUGAUACUGGAAGGCUUGAAUCCGGGAGAGGGAUGUGGAAUUCCAGGUGUAGCGGUGAAAUGCGUAGAUAUCUGGAGGAACACCGGUGGCGAAGGCGGCAUCCUGGACCGGUAUUGACGCUGAGGCGCGAAAGCCAGGGGAGCAAACGGGAUUAGAUACCCCGGUAGUCCUGGCCCUAAACGAUGAAUGCUUGGUGUGGCGGGUAUCGAUCCCUGCCGUGCCGAAGCUAACGCAUUAAGCAUUCCGCCUGGGGAGUACG